rnacentral:sRNA from 1 species
GGCGAGUGCUCCCCCAAGUGCCGCAGCCUGUUCGUGCUGGAGACCGUGUGCGUGGCCUGGUUCUCCUUCGAGUUCCUGCUGCGCUCCCUGCAGGCCGAGAGCAAGUGCGCCUUCCUGCGCGCGCCGCUCAACAUCAUCGACAUCCUGGCGCUCCUGCCGUUCUACGUGUCGCUGCUGCUGGGGCUGGCGGCGGGCCCGGGCGGGACCAAGCUCCUGGAGCGCGCGGGGCUGGUGCUGCGGCUGCUGCGUGCGCUGCGCGUGCUCUACGUGAUGCGCCUGGCGCGCCACUCACUGGGGCUGCGCUCGCUGGGCCUGACCGUGCGCCGCUGCGCGCGCGAGUUCGGGCUGCUGCUGCUGUUCCUCUGCGUGGCCAUGGCGCUCUUCGCGCCACUGGUGCACCUGGCCGAGCGCGAGCUGGGCGCGCGCCGCGACUUCUCCAGCGUGCCUGCCAGCUACUGGUGGGCCGUCAUCUCCAUGACCACCGUGGGCUACGGCGACAUGGUCCCGCGCAGCCUGCCCGGGCAGGUGGUGGCGCUCAGCAGCAUCCUCAGCGGCAUCCUGCUCAUGGCCUUCCCGGUCACCUCUAUCUUCCACACCUUCUCGCGCUCCUACUCCGAGCUCAAGGAGCAGCAGCAGCGCGCGGCCAGCCCCGAGCCGGCCCUGCGGGAGGACAGCACGCGCUCGGCCACAGCCACCGAGGACAGCUCGCAAGGCCCCGACAGCGCGGGCCUGGCCGACGACUCUGCGGACGCGCUGUGGGUGCGGGCAGGGCGCUGACACCUGCGCCGCCCGCACGGAGACCCUCUGCUCCCUCCAGCUGCAGGGUCGGGACCCCCGAGGUGCGCCGAGGGGUGGGGGGCGUCUGGCCCGGGGGAAGGGCUCCUGCCGGCCGCGUCCUCGGCCCUCGUGCGUGAGCAGCCCCAGAACUUGGCGGAGCCCUGCCUGACUCCCCGCGGCAGCGCUGGGCGAAGUCACUGGCCUGUGUCCUCCUGCCCCGCCCCUUUCGUUGGAUUUUUAAUUUUCUAUGCCUAGCUAAAAAUAAAUUUAGUAAGUCCCAGAAAUUCCAUGCUUGCUGUGGAUGACUUCGUCCCCCUUCUGACUUUUCCUGCCUCCGGCCAGGGAGGAGGGAGCGCGGCCCCUGCCAGGCCCCCAUGGCAU